CGCGGCCACCGGCCGGGAGGUCGGGGAUCCCGGAGUCGUCUUCCGACUCCGGGAUCCCCGACUUUCCGGUCGGUGGUGCAC
rnacentral:pre_miRNA from 1 species